rnacentral:lncRNA from 1 species
AGGCGGAGGAAGAGGGUCCGCGGCGGGGACGCGCCAGGCGGCGCCCGGGGAGAGAUACUCCAUGUUUCCCUAUCCUCUAAAGAGUUUGGGUCGAGACUGGACCACGCCGUGGGAGGAUCUACAGAAAUAUUGCUGGCGCAGACACAUUUCCAGUUGUCUGAGGUGGCCAGGACAUUACUCCCGUGCGCCUUACCCAUACUUCAGUAGCAGGCAUUUCUCAUUGAACUGUAGACCACCUUUUCUGUUUGAGUCUGGAACGCAGUUUCAGUACUAUAAUUGGAGAUCUGACCACCUUAGCAACGCAUCCUUGAUCCAUCUCUCUCGUCACGUCAUGACCUCUGACAGAGAUGAGCCCUUAUCUAAACGAAGAAAACAUCAAGGUGUUGAGAAUAAGGAAAAGGCUCUUCGUUAAGCCACAUAUGUGACUUCCGAUAUUUCACUAAUACUUUCCAGUCAAGAGAACAGCAUUACUAAUUUGCCUGUCACUGUAAAGUGGUAUUUGAAGGAUUUGUAUGACACACUAUGACUCUUUAAUUAGGCACCCCAAUACCUGCUCAGGCCUAUUGCUCACUUUCUUUGACUCAUCUCUCUUGUCUGCUGUGAUCACCUUGUUCCUCCUGACAUGGAAGGUAUAUAAGAUUUUGCAGUGUGAAUUUAUGU